rnacentral:rRNA from 1 species
GACGAACGCUGGCGGCGUGCCUAAUACAUGCAAGUCGAACGCAGGGGGGACGGGGGCGUAACACGUGGGUAACCUCCCAUCAGAGGGGAUAACACUUGGAAACAGGUGCUAAAACCGAUACUGAUGGAUGGACUCGCGGUGCAUUAGCUAGUUGAUGAGGUAACGGCUCACCAAGGCCACGAGGCAUAGCCGGCCUGAGAGGGUGAUCGGCCACACUGGAACUGAGACACGGCCCAGACUCCUACGGGAGGCAGCAGUGGGGAAUAUUGGGCAAUGGACGAAAGUCUGACCGAGCAACGCCGCGUGGGUGAAGAAGGUUUUCGGAUCGUAAAGCUCUGUUGGUGGAGAAGCGGUAUCUAACCAGAAAGCCACGGCUAACUCCGUGCCAGCAGCCGCGGUAAUUC